AUAGGCACCUGGUGAUGUUUUGAGGUGUGCUGUGCAGAGCCAGGAGUGGGACUCAGAGAUCCUUAUGGAUCCCUCCUAACUCGGGAAAUUCCGUGAUUCUGGGUGCUUUACACCACAAACGGGAAAGACGUGGGGAAAAGCUUAUCCCAGACUUCCACACCAAACAGCCUUUUGCGGAGGGAAACGGCCAGGAAAAUCUUGUGGAAGCAUCCCUGUCGCCCCGCUCUGCCGUAGUGGAAGGAGCCCUCACACAAGGCAAACCAGCGUGGGAUCCCAUGAAACCCUGAAACCUCCCAAACAGACACCGAAGCCAAGGAGAACCAAGUUAAACGGGGGAAAAUCCUGAGCCACAGAGGACGGGCACCCCCAGCGAGGCAGUUAUGGCUCCAGAUUUGUGUAAAAACUUCAAAUAAAAGCCAGAUUU